GUCCUACGGGGCGCAGCAGUAGGGAAUUUUCGUCAAUGGGCGCAAGCCUGAACGAGCAAUGCCGCGUGAACGAGGAAGGUCUUCGGAUCGUAAAGUUCUGUUGAAGGGGAAAAAGAGCGGAGAGAGGAAAUGGUCUCCGAUUGAUAUUACCCUUCGAGGAAGUCACGGCUAACUACGUGCCAGCAGCCGCGGUAAUACGUAGGUGGCGAGCGUUAUCCGGGUUUACUGGGUGUAAAGGGAGCGUAGACGGCGUAUCAAGUCUGAUGGGAAAGGCAGG
rnacentral:rRNA from 1 species